GGUUAAGCGACUAAGCGUACACGGUGGAUGCCCUGGCAGUCAGAGGCGAUGAAGGACGUGCUAAUCUGCGAUAAGCGCCGGUAAGGUGAUAUGAACCGUUAUAACCGGCGAUUUCCGAAUGGGGAAACCCAGUGUGACUCGUCACACUAUCAUUAACUGAAUCCAUAGGUUAAUGAGGCGAACCGGGGGAACUGAAACAUCUAAGUACCCCGAGGAAAAGAAAUCAACCGAGAUUCCCCCAGUAGCGGCGAGCGAACGGGGAGGA
rnacentral:rRNA from 8 species